CAACAACAUCAUAACUGUCAGAGCAAUUUUCCACCUCAGCAGUUUAACACCUGAACUGUUGUGAGCUCCUUUCUCUUCCCUCCCUCCUCCCUGCUCCUGCUCCCUCUCUCUCCGUCUCGCUGCACUGAAGUCAGUCUGGCUCACAGCCAUCUUCUCCAGAAUCAGUGGCAAACAGUGUUUGCCCCCAAGAGCCAAGGGGCUACGGAAUUAAUCAGCACACAGAGUCUUCAGAGAAGACAGGAAAGGAAAAGCCCACAGACUCAAAUAUCCAAUCUAGCAUCUGUCAACAUCUGGGUUGUAAAUAAUCCAGGGAUUUUAAAAGGAUUCCAAUGUUAGACUGCCUCCAACUCCCUGGCAUAAAGAUGCGGUUAUUAAUUUUUAUUUACUGGGAUCAUAUUUAUUUUCCUAGAAUAUGAGGCAAAGUGCUGGGGGGAUGUGAGAAACAGACACCUCUAAAAUGUUACCUCUCUGUUGGGAAUCUGCCAGAAAAAGACACACAAUUGGAGUGAUGGUUAAAAUCGGAACAACUGGUGGGGCUGAGGAACUGACCAAUUGCCCUCCCUCCUGUAUGCCUCUAAGUCGAAGGAUCUUGAUGUGGUCUCAGUGGGGGCAAAGGACCUAAAGAGACACCUUUCCAAAGAAGACAUCUAAAUGGCCAACAGCCACAUGAGAAGAAACUCAACAUCACUAAUUAUCAGGGAAAUGCAAAUCAAAACCACAAUGAGAUAUCUAUCUCCUCACACCUGGCAGGCUGGCCAUCAUCAAAUAGGCAAAAAAUAACAAGUGUUGAUGAGGAUAUGGAGAAAAAGGAGCACUGUUGAUUGAAUGUAAAUUGGGACUGCCACUACAGAAAACAGUUAUCUAUAUGAAAACAUUAUUUUUUUUCUUCAAAACUUUAAAAGUAGAACUGCCAUACGAUCCAGCAAUCUUAUUUCUUGGUAUAACCUGGAGGAGUAAAACCACCAUCUUGAAGAGCAAGGAGCUCCAUGCAUCUGCAAGAACCUGCCUGAAAUACUCCAGCCCACUGGAUGCAGAGCCUCUACUUAAAAAUAUCCAGUGAUGGGGAACUCACUACUUCCAGGGGCAGGUCCAUCCCUCCACUGUCAAGGAGUGAGGACAAUGUUGUACAAGGCAUGGGGCUCUGGAGAGCAUCGGCUGAGUGAUGGGGGCACA